rnacentral:lncRNA from 1 species
CUCUAGGCAAUUGAGAGAGAAAGGGUCAGUUCCAUUGCCUCCUUUCAUCAUGUUAUAGACAAGGGUUAUUGAGAGCCUAGGGUUGUACCUUGGAGCCCCUAUUAUUGCCUAGACCUACAUGUAGUGGAGUCAUCAUAGGUUUUAGGCUGUACUACUCAUGCCUAUUCUAGGCCAUAUUCUCUGUUUUCCUUUAACUUUUAUAUAUGAAUGCUUCCGGUCAAGGUUCCCCAUCUUGGCAUGAGGUCCUAUAUCGGUACCAUCCUAUUGCAGUGUUGGUAUGCAGUUCGGUAUGGUACGAGAUGGUAAAUGAAAUGUCAAUACGGUAGAGAUAUGGUACCAAUAUGAGACCAGUAUGGUAUUGUACGGUAUGGAGUGUACCGAACGGUUUGGCUCAAUACAUCAUUCCAUGCUUCCAAUAGUCUAAAACCUUUAAUUUAUAAUUUCUAUGAUUUUGUAGCUUGCCAUAAGUUUCUAUUCUGUCUAGAAAAUAUUGCCUAGAUUAAAACCUUUUUUGUGAAAUUAGUAGCCUAAUUAUUUCAUGGUUUUGUGAACUGUUGGAAUUUCUUAUUAUAGUAUCUUAAUUACGCACACACACACACACAUAUAUAUAUGUAUAUGCAUGCAUGCAUGCAUGCAUAUACAUACACAUACAUACAACACAUGCAUGCACACAUAUACAUACACACACAUAGAUGCAUACAUACAUACAUGUAUAUACAUACAUAGAUACAUAUACAUACAUACGUACGUACAUACAUACACAUACACACACACACACAACACAUGCAUGCACACACAUAGAUGCAUACAUACAUACAUGUAUAUACAUACAUAGAUACAUACACACACACACACACAUAUAUGUAUGCACACACACACAUAUAUAUGUACAUAUAUAUACACAUGUAUACAUGUAGAUGUUAUAAAUUUAUAUACAUGUAUAUAUAUAUAUAUAUAUAUGCAAGAUUCGUUGGACUGGUAUCUGGUGCUGUACCAUCUUAUAACUGGUUAUAGAUAGUAUAUGUCCAUAUUAUACUGUCCUAGAGUGUAUUGAAACAUGAGAGA